GCGUGUUCUGUGACUGACUCGGCUGGCGCCCGCAGGUCUGUCACGAAACACGGGA
rfam:Acyrthosiphon pisum strain LSR1 Contig26755, whole genome shotgun sequence.